GAGUGUCAUACAGUUAUGAAGUUCUUCGAUACCGGUUAUGUGUCGUUUGUGGACGGUAUCUUUGUAAAUGAGGAGUUAAUUCCCUUCUGGGUGAAUUUAGUUAUGGUUUUUUACGGUUUGAAAGAAGGAUUACGAGAGGUAAUGGGGACACUUUGCUCUGCAAUAGCUAGGUUUCAUUACGGUUUCGUUGAAUUCGAAUCGCUAGAUGAAGAAAACUAUUCUCUGAGAAACUAUGUAUUUGUUUUGGGCUACAGAAGAUAUGACUAUUUUCCAGGUGUUACCUAAUAAAAUCUAGUGUAUAAACAAAUUUUUUUCUCCAACCCCUGCAGGGGCGGUGCCCCUGUAGGGAUGGAGGCCCCCUCCCAUGGCCAGUCCCACAGGUCUUUAAGACCUAUGGGCGGGUGUAUGGGCGGUUGGGGUGAGUUGUGCUUGGGACUUUAAAUUUCACACUACAUGUGGUUGAUUACUGGAACAGUUUAAGAUAUUGCAUACACUACUUGUUAUUCAAGAACUGUUAUUUCUUUUACUUCACAAUAAUGCUGCAUGAGGUGGGAAUGGAGUCUAGUGUUAUCGAUGUACUUCAAUGUCAUUAUUGCCCUGUGUUAAUUGGUCAAUUAUGUAAAAAUCUGUCAAUUCAAUAAAUAGUUAACUUGAAUUUAUUACCUCCACCAAUAUCAGUUACUGAAAGCUGG